CGGCUUCGGGAGGGCACCGGGGUGCCGGGCGAUGCGCGGGGCGGGGGCGCGGUCGGGAGGGGAGCCUCGGCCUGGGCCCGGGCGCACGUCCAGAGGCAGCCGUAGCCGCCUGAACGUGUCUCUUCCCGAAACUCGCCCCUCCAGGAGUGGGUUCCGGUAACGGGGCGCUACCCAGCCUGGUGGGCGAGCGCAGGCCCCAUCACUAUCUGCGGGUGGAUCCGGAGCUACGGCGGAGGCCCCGCCGGGAGUAUCUGGCGAGCGCACCCGGGGCGGGCACGCCUCUCUGCUCCGUGGGCGGCGCCCUCCCUCUAGCCAGCAGUCCUACCGCCCAAUCCGUUAAGCGAAGUCGUCCGAAACAAAAACAAAAACUUCUGGGACACCUCUUAGGAGCUGAAUUUUGCCAACCCUUAGGAGAGACCAAAUGCUGUGGGUUGCCGGUUCAGAGCCUCCCAACUGAGAUGCUGUGAAUAAAAUACAGCUGUGCUCUGGUGUGAACACCCCUCCCCCCAUCCUUGGACCAGCUGAGCAAGGCUGAGGCAGCAUCCUCAGGCAAGCAUGAGACGCUGCAGGACCAGGCAGUACCUACACAUGCACGGCCCAGAAAUGUGGGAGAUUUAAUGUCUGAGAAGAAAGUUUGACAAGGGGAUAUAGAAGGAAGCAGCUGGCCAUUUGAGGAAACCCACAUGGUAAGGAACUACAAGCAGCCUCCAGAAGCUGAGGGCAACCUCCAGCCGACAGCCAGCAAGAAAUCAGAGCCCUCGGUCAUACAUCCAAAAGGACAUGAAUUCUGUUGACAACCACAUGAGUCUGGAAGCAGAUCCUUUCCCAGGUGAGCCUCCAUAUGAGAAAGCAGUCUUGUUCAACACCUUGAUUGCAGCCUUGCAAAGGAUAAGCUAAGUUGUUCCUGACCCAUGGGAACAGGGAGAUAAUAAAUGUGUGUUGCUUUAGGCUGUUAAGUUUGUGGCAAUAUUAUUAAGCAACAGUAGAUAACUAAUACAGAUUAUAAAACAGUACAACCACUUUGGGAGAUGGUUUGACAAUAUCUUAAAACAUUAAACAUACACCAACCAUGUGACCCAGAUAUUCCAUACUCAAGAGAAACAUUAGUUGGGGGUUCCCUGGUGGUCCAGUGGUUAGGACUUGGUGCUUUCACUGCCGGGGCCUGGGUUCAAUCCCUGGUCAGGGAACUAAGCCGCACGGUGUGGACAAAAAA